UACAGAGGUCUCAAGCGUUGUUCGGAUUCAUUGGGCGUAAAGGGCGCGUAGGCGGCGCGGUAAGUCGGGUGUGAAAUCUCGGAGCUUAACUCCGAAACUGCAUUCGAUACUGCCGUGCUUGAGGACUGGAGAGGAGACUGGAAUUUACGGUGUAGCGGUGAAAUGCGUAGAUAUCGUAAGGAAGACCAGUGGCGAAGGCGGGUCUCUGGACAGUUCCUGACGCUGAGGCACGAAAGCGUGGGGAGCAAACAGG
rnacentral:rRNA from 1 species